rnacentral:rRNA from 1 species
UACGUAGGGUGCAAGCGUUAAUCGGAAUUACUGGGCGUAAAGCGCACGUAGGCGGAUUUGUAAGUCAGGGGGUGAAAACCCGGGGCUCAGCCUCGGAACUGCCUUUGAUACUGCAAAUCUCGAGUCCGGAAGAGGUGAGUGGAAUUCCUAGUGUAGAGGUGAAAUUCGUAGAUAUUAGGAAGAACACCAGUGGCGAAGGCGGCUCACUGGUCCGGUACUGACGCUGAGGUGCGAAAGCGUGGGGAGCAAACAGGA